CCUCGUCCUUCCUUGAUGCUUGCAGCGAGAGCGCAAAGGUCAGCGUGGGCUGCUCGGAGGCCUCGAACGCAAAUAAAGUGGAAGAAUCGGCGCCGACGCUAACCAAUGACCUCACGUCGAAUCACUCGCCGGAAAAAGAAUACGUCGCCGAAACGACGUGAGUCAACCGGAAGAGCUCCACCGUCUGCGCCUCCAGCAGAAGAGUCUCCGGGUGAACCGAAAGCCUGGACGAGUCAAGUGAGCCGUCCGUCUUCGCCUCUCUCAGAAGGCAAUGUUGAUGAUGAAUGUUAAUUAUUGUCAAAGGUUUUAUAAUAUGUGUACUGUUGUAAUAUGUAUAAAUACUGUUAACUUACUUGAAGCAUGCACCCAAAGUGUCUGGCUAAAUCACUCUUUCCAGUUCUGGCGACACAUUUACCAAACAAAGCUCUGAGGAGGAGUAAAGAAAGGAUCUGUAAAUAAUCAGCAUCUCUGGUGACUGUGAUUUAUUUUGUUUUGACGUUUUUCUUGUGUUCGUUGAUGGAGAACUGCUGCAAAUGUCGAGGAAAAUGACAUGUUAGCGGUGUCUCUCGCUUUCGUAAUAAUGGCACCCAUCCCAGAUAAGUGCAAUGUUUGUCUUAAACUGUCAUGCCACGCGUAGUUAGAAUGCGUUGUUGUGUAUCGUUUUGUUCGGCCCGCGGGUCCGAAAUGCAUAGCCCACUCCCGCUUUGCACUUUUCCGAUCUUGAACUUGAUGCUGAUCUUUUCAGAAAAUGUCACAUUUUACCUUAUGUCUCAAUUUUAAACUA